UACGGAGGGAGCUAGCGUUGUUCGGAUAUACUGGGCGUAAAGCGCACGUAGGCGGCGCAGCAAGUCAGGGGUGAAAUCCCGGAGCUCAACUCCGGAACUGCCUUUGAAACUGCAGUGCUAGAAUCCUGGAGAGGCGAGUGGAAUUCCGAGUGUAGAGGUGAAAUUCGUAGAUAUUAGGAAGAACACCAGUGGCGAAGGCGGCUCACUGGUCCGGUACUGACGCUGAGGUGCGAAAGCGUGGGGAGCAAACAGG
rnacentral:rRNA from 1 species